AGCCGGCAGGCCAGGGAGGGGACUUACCGGCUCUACCAACUGCUGCUCCAACAGAGGGGCCUGACCAUACAUGAGGCGGAAGAUCUCUGUUGCUAUGACUGGCACCAGGACAGCAGGCUCUUGGGCUACAAGAAUACAGCCAGAGUGGGGGAGGUCUUUGGAAAAUUCUUCUCCGUCG